rnacentral:rRNA from 1 species
CAGUCGCCGCGGUAAUACGGAGGGAGCUAGCGUUAUUCGGAAUUACUGGGCGUAAAGCGCACGUAGGCGGCUUUGUAAGUUAGAGGUGAAAGCCUGGAGCUCAACUCCAGAAUUGCCUUUAAGACUGCAUCGCUUGAAUCCAGGAGAGGUGAGUGGAAUUCCGAGUGUAGAGGUGAAAUUCGUAGAUAUUCGGAAGAACACCAGUGGCGAAGGCGGCUCACUGGACUGGUAUUGACGCUGAGGUGCGAAAGCGUGGGGAGCAAACAGGAUUAGAUACCCCUGUAGUCCCUGUCUCUUAUAC